AUGAUUUCUGGCAUAGAAGACAGGCUCUUUGAAGGGCAACAAGGAAAAAUACCCAAGUAUUCUUUAAAUGAUCUUGACAAUGGUCUUUUCAGAGUUGCAGGGGAAGUCUUCGUAGUGAGUCUUGCUCAAGGUGGCCCAGCUCCUCGUUUCCUGCAGGAAUGGUGUUAUCACUUCUUGGCAACUGGUGAGCUGAUGGCUGUAACUAAAGACAAUGUCCAUGACUGAUACAAAGGAUUGAGGAAGCAGAAGACCUUACCUCCUGCACUGAAGAGAUUAUCUGUUGUGGUUACACUGGCCAAAUAAAUGUUGAGAGUAAAUCAAACAUUAUUAGGGCCAUUCUAUUACAUGCAACCAUGCAAAGAACUGCAAUGCUGAGGCAAAUACGAGGCGGUUUAGAUGUCUACAACUUUCUGAGCAUCUUAGAGAAAAACCAGGAGCAUCGCCGUGGUCUUUUUGUG